CAUGUGCCUUAAGCGAUACCCGGGCAUUUCUGGCUCCAGACCUUGAAGUUCACAACCAUUUCCACAGCUGCCUCAGUGCCCAGCAUGCUAAGGAUGUCGGCUAGGCAGCCUUCCCACUGUUCAGAAAAUUUCACUCCUGCAGCUUCUUGGCUGGUUUUGAGAAAUCACUAUAUGAGCAGGGCGCAGAUUAGCAUAAGUGUCACAUUCUGUGGGCCUGCCCGCUCAUUUCUCAGGCGUUGCAUAUGCCGGGGAUUUCUCAACUGGAUAAUAAGAGGAAUAUGGUCUACACAUGCAGAGCAGGCACUGUGUUUUCUGCAGGCAGUGUGGAAUAAAUCUCACCUGGAGAAGCAAGCCCCACAGAAGACAGCGUAACUAACUGCAGAAGGAGGCCAAGAAGACUGCUAAUAAACGCUCCAGCUGGGAGCCACUGCACCCAGAAAGCAAAGGCCAUUCCAUAUGAGUGUGUACCUCUGAAAAGAGUGGGGAGCAAACUUCUCUGCAAGCACUGUGGAGGUUCAGUGACUUAACAGGCAUUCAUUGAGAGCAUCCUCAGGAGCAAGUGUCCACUUCUCAUCUUCCAAAAGCACAGGCAAGAGAUUGCACUGGGACCUUCUCAGGCCUCCACGGCACUGUCAAAUCUGUCCACACGCUUGCCUUUCUCGUGACCUGGGUGGAACCAUCUGGAGGCCCCGGAGAGCGAGCGCACACUCUGCAAGUGCCUGGGAAGCAGAGCUGCAGUGGCCCAAGGGGAACGUGACUCCAAACUGAGGACCUGACUCAUCUCACCCCGAGUUUCUACUCCCCAGGGAAGUGUUGCCACAGUAGGCUUCAACAAAAAGAGGCCAAAGCCGGACUGAGAACGCAGUUUGUCGGCCUCUUCCUUUAAAUCCUCCAACGUAUUCCUAAUGACUUCUGUAAGAUCUGUCUUCCAGUCAGCACGCGUCCUCCUGCCUUCUCCUUCUGUCGCCUUUCACCCCUUGAACACGGAUCUGAUUUUCUCUUCACGUGUCUGCGCAUGCGUCAUUGCGCUUAGACGUCGUAAAGGCUACUCGACAGGAUUCCUAAAAUACGCCAUCUUCCUUUGUCAUGCAGUGCGUUUGUCUUGUCAAAUAAUUAGCCACUGAUUUUUUUUUAAACUUUCUUGUGUUUGGGGUUUAUUCUGAACAAAGCAGACUGUUGUCCUGACUUUCGUUCUCCUCUUAAGGCAGGUGUCUGAGUUUGCCUUGUAUUUCAGGGAUCAACGCUGUAACUAAAAGCAACUUUGGCAGGAAAGGUGGUGUUUUUUCCCCCUUCUGACUCACAGCUUGCAGUCCAUCAUGAGAAAGAAUAAACUGAAGCAGAGGCCAUGGCGGGACACUACUACUCAAGGCUUGCUCAGCUUGCCUUUUUAAACCACCCAGGACCACCCGCGCAGAGGUGGCACCACCCACAAUGGGCGUGGCGGGGGCCCUCCCAAGUCAAUCACCCACGUCAAUCAUGAAUCAAGAAAUGGCUUUCACAGACUUAUUUACAGGCCAAAACGAUGGGGACAUUUUCUCAGUCGAAGUUCCUUCUUCCCAGAUAACCCUAGUUUUUGUUUAACUGACAAGCCCUACCCGGUACAUAGCACACUUACCCUAAACCAAUGCUUUUCAGCCUUUCUAACACUGCCACCCUUUAAUGUUGUGGUGACCUCCCAAACACAAAAUUAUUUCAUUGCUACUUCAUAACUGUAAUUUUGCCAUUGUUAUGAAUCUGAAUAUAAAUAUCUCAUAUGCCGCAUAUCUGAUAUGUGACUCCCAAAGGGUCAUGGCUGACAGGUUGAGGAGUUAAUGCUCCUUCAUAGGGGCCUUCAUAGAUGUGACAAUUGAGUGGAAUUGGUCCCAUAGGCCCAUGGGGCCUGGCACUUUUGGGAGGUGUGGCCUUGUUAAAGUAGGUGUGUC